rnacentral:rRNA from 1 species
GACGAACGCUGGCGGCGUGCUUAACACAUGCAAGUCGAACGGAAAGGCCCCUUUGGGGGUACUCUAGUGGCGAACGGGUGAGUAACGCGUGAGUAACCUGCCCUUGACUUCGGGAUAACUUCAGGAAACUGGGGCUAAUACCGGAUAGGAAUCCUUGCUGCAUGGUGGGGGUUGGAAAGCUUCGGCGGUUUUGGAUGGACUCGCGGCUUAUCAGCUUGUUGGUGGGGUAGUGGCUUACCAAGGCUUUGACGGGUAGCCGGCCUGAGAGGGCGACCGGCCACAUUGGGACUGAGAUACGGCCCAGACUCCUACGGGAGGCAGCAGUGGGGAAUAUUGCACAAUGGGCGGAAGCCUGAUGCAGCAACGCCGCGUGCGGGAUGACGGCCUUCGGGUUGUAAACCGCUUUCAGCAGGGGCGAAGCUUGUGGUGACGGUACCUGCAGAAGAAGCACCGGCUAACUACGUG